rnacentral:lncRNA from 1 species
CAGCACCAACUAUUAAGUAUUGCAAUAAUAUUUUCAAAACAUACAAAAAAUAAUUUUAUAAAAAACCUAAAUUUUCACAUUGUUGCAUAAAACUUUUUAUGUCAAGAUCAGCACAACGUUUCUUAAACUAACCACAAUCAUGCAGAACCAAAAACUUACUUCAUAAGGUAUGAAAGUAUUUUAGAAUCUUAGUAUAAAACCAACAGUAGCAAAAUAUUUAAUUUGAAAUUAUAAAAAUUACCCAAUAGAUAUAAACCUCAUCGCGGUUGUUAUCGAUUAUUUCUUUCAUCCAUAAAGUCUCCAAAAAUGAUACAUGUUAGUAUCCACAAAUUAUUUGACUUCAUGGGGUUGAUCUUCACUUGAGGCCAGCAGACAUAACUAUCUCAUCAUGAAUAGAUGAUUUGAACACAAGAACCUUCAUGUUAGUAGCCUUACUGAGGAAACUUUCGAGAACAUUGAAUGUCUCUUUUGUUGAUCAUUCUUAAAGGUAAAGUAAAGACUUACGGGACUACCUCAUUAUAAGGAAACCACCGAUCACUGGAGAAUUGACUUUCAGUUGAAUAACUUGACAUUUGAUCCUUUUUUAUCAUCCGUAAUUUCAUGAUAUGGAUAUGAAAUUUCCUGAUAUUUCAAGUGUCAUGGUAGUUUGAUACUGAACUCAAGUUGUAACUCUGUAGAAGUAUGAGUGAAAGAAAUGAAAGCAUUAAAAUAAAAAAUACUAUACUAUCAAAAAGAGACGAUGUACCAAUAAAAUAUAACUUUUAUUGUCAGAAAGCGUCAAAGUUAUAAAAAACACAAUGACAAAAAUCAAAAUUGAUCUCAAAAGAAUAUCUGUAUAAAUUUACAGAGAAUCUUAACCUAAUUUUUGUAUAUAUUGUAGCUCCAUAAGUUGUAUUUCAAACGGCACAAACAGAUCAUAGUUUUGACAUGUUUGCAAAAAGAUAUAAUUUUUUUAGUGAGGACGCGUAAAGGAUACCAAUAUAUGUUAAAUAAAUUCAAAAGCAUAUAUUUAUGAAUAUACAAAGAAUCUAGAUCUGUUUUUUGUAUAUAUUUGGUUCUCGAAGAGCUCUUUUCAACGGCACAAGCGAAUCAUGAUUUUGAGGCAUCUACAAAAAGAUAUAACUUUUUUAGUCAAGACGUGUUGUUUCUAAAAAUUUCAUCAUUCAUGGGUAGAAUUAUUUGAGGAAAGAAGGAUUGAGAAGAAAGAAAGUGUAAAGAAAAGAGAUGUGACCUCUUCUGUGACCUAACUUCAUGAGGUUGAUAAAAUGGUGUAUCUCCACGCCAAAAUUGUCUACUUCAACAUCUGAUGAAAGUUGAAAACAAUAGAUUUGUUGGCAGGGAUAAAAGUCACUAAAUUAAAUAAUUAUUUUCUUGAUAGGUUGAAUGUCUAUAAGAAUAAGUUAUGGCCGUCCAUUAGAAUUAUUAUUUCAAGCCCACAUUUGAAAAGACAAACUGGUGGUUUUAUUUUUCUUUUCCUACUUCAUUGUAA